CCUACGGGGGGCAGCAGUGGGGAAUAUUGCACAAUGGGGGAAACCCUGAUGCAGCGACGCCGCGUGAGUGAAGAAGUAUUUCGGUACGUAAAGCUCUAUCAGCAGGGACGAAAAUGACGGUACCUGAAUAAGAAGCCACGGAUAACUACGGGCCAGCAGCCGACGUAAUACGUAGGGGGCAAGCGUUAUCCGGAUUUACUGGGUGUAAAGGGAGCGUAGACGGCAGCGAAAGUCUGAUGUGAAAUCCCAUGGCUUAACCAUGGAACUGCUUUGGAAACUGUGCAGCUGGAGUGCAGGAGAGGUAAGCGGAAUUCCUGGUGUAGCGGUGAAAUGCGUAGAUAGUAGGAGGAACACCAGUGGCGAAGGCGGCUUACUGGACUGUAACUGACGUUGAGGCUCGAAAGCGUGGGGAGCAAACAGGAUUAGAUACCCGAGUAGUC
rnacentral:rRNA from 1 species